CAGCAGCCGCGGUAAUACGAAGGGGGCUAGCGUUGUUCGGAAUUACUGGGCGUAAAGGGCGCGUAGGCAGCCAUUCAAGUUAGAUGUGAAAGCCCUGGGCUCAACCUAGGAAUUGCAUUUGAUACUGUUUGGCUUGAGUUCGGGAGAGGUGAGUGGAAUUCCCAGUGUAGAGGUGAAAUUCGUAGAUAUUGGGAAGAACACCAGUGGCGAAGGCGGCUCACUGGACCGACACUGACGCUGAGGCGCGAAAGCGUGGGGAGCAAACAGGAUUAGAUACCCCCGUAGUCCCUGUCUCUUAUAC
rnacentral:rRNA from 1 species